AGAGAAUCUAGGAAAAUCCGGAUUCUUGUUAAUCCUGAGACGUGAAGGGGGACAAUAGUCUGUAGUAACCGAUGCCAUGCUUCCAAGAAAAUUCUCGUAAAGCGAGUUGCAUAAGUGACCGUACUAAAACUGACACAGGUAGGUGAGGAGAGAAUCCUAAGGCGCUCGAGAUAACCUCUGUUAAGGAACUCGGCAAAUUCACCCCGUAACUUUGGGAGAAGGGGUACCCUUGAUGGUGAAAGACAUACGUCUGGAGCUGUUGGGGGGCGCAGUGAAAAGGCCCGGGCGACUGUUUACUAAAAACACAGGUCUCUGCUAAGACUUAAAGUCGAUGUAUAGAGACUGACGCCUGCUCAGUGCCGGAAGGUUAAAGGGAGGGGUUAGCUUAGGCGAAGCUCUGAACUAAAGCCCCGGUUAACGGCGGCCGUAACUAUGACGGUCCUAAGGUAGCGAAGUUCCUUGUCGGGUAAGUUCCGACCUGCACGAAUGGCGUAACGACUUGGGCACUGUCUCAACAGAGGACUCGGUGAAACUGUAGUAGCGGUGAAGAUGCCGCUUACCCGCAGCAAGACGGAAAGACCCCGUGAACCUUUACUGCAGCUUGACAUUGAACUUUGAUCUUACUUGUGUAGGAUAGGUGGGAGGCUUUGAAGUGGGGACGCCAGUUCUCAUGGAGCCAACCUUGAAAUACCACCCUGGCAACCUUGAGGUUCUAACUCUGGUCCGUUAUCCGGAUCGAGGACAGUGUAUGGUGGGUAGUUUGACUGGGGCGGUCUCCUCCUAAAGAGUAACGGAGGAGUACGAAGGUGCGCUCAGCGUGGUCGGAAAUCACGCGUAGAGUAUAAAGGCAAAAGCGCGCUUAACUGCGAGACCCACAAGUCGAGCAGGUACGAAAGUAGGUCUUAGUGAUCCGGUGGUUCUGUAUGGAAGGGCCAUCGCUCAACGGAUAAAAGGUACUCCGGGGAUAACAGGCUGAUACCGCCCAAGAGUUCAUAUCGACGGCGGUGUUUGGCACCUUGAUGUCGGCUCAUCACAUCCUGGGGCUGAAGCCGGUCCCAAGGGUAUGGCUGUUCGCCAUUUAAAGUGGUACGCGAGCUGGGUUUAGAACGUCGUGAGACAGUUCGGUC
rnacentral:rRNA from 1 species